AUGAAUGCAAGCUGUACAGGUUGGCAAUCCCACUUUCAUUGUGAUACUUGAAGGCAGUAUAAAUUCCAAUUAUUCCAAGUACUAACGCAGCUCCGUGAAGACCAAGGUGUACCAAUUUCUUCACUUCCUUCUUCAGGGGAAGAGAUUUGUAACUUAUAAUAGCUGAAUUCAUUUUCCGAAUGAGAAAAUCAGAGAACAAAUUAGUAGGUCAAUCAAAUGGAAUUGAUUAAUGAAGCAGUUCCUUGUGAAAGUAUUUUGAUUACCUUCACCUCCAUGAACUAUGAGGCCAAAAACUAUAAGAAAUGGAUGAAUCUGUAUAAAGGAAAAAUAUACGUAAGAUAUACUGACUUCCUAAAAGUAAUAGCAGAAUUCAGCAACAAAUACUCCAUACAUCAACCAACUUGUAUAACAAAAUCUUCUACAGACAUUUCUUUGACCUCUUGAUGCAUAAUUCAGAUUCAAAGGAUUAAACAAAUCUAUUUUUGUCUCUUCCAAAGUUAAAAUUCAAAGGAUUCCAUCUCAGAGUAUCAUGAUCUUUUCUAAUUACAGACGCAUGCAAAUGUAAAGGAGCGUACUGAUAAGUAUAUACAUGCAAAUGGCAUACCCAAAUAUUUAAUCAUAGAAGUAAGACACUCCAAAAUUCAAAACUCUUGACCAAGAAAAUAGAGAAGCAGCCACAAAAGUAGCACGUGGCAGCUAAUUUAUUUCUCACUCCAGUCCAAAACAGAUAAGCAUGUAUGCCCAUGUGCUUCCCACAAGUAGAAUUCCGAAUCCACCAAUAUAUUAUUAUAUUAUUAUAAUAUGCUGUCAAGUACUGUGGUGUCAAAGAAAUCUUUUCCUCAAUUAUUAGAUUCAAAAUGAGUAGUAAGUAGAAGACAUGGUCAAUAAUUAAUCAACAAAUACUAAAAUAACAAAUAAUAAUAGAUCUUAAGACCCAAAAAGUUCACUUUUUAGUAUAAAGAAAGUGCAGGUAAAGUUUCCCAAACACACUUGGGUUCCAUUUUUUUUUAUUCACAUAAAUGAGUACGUUUUGAUACUGAAAGAUUACCUCAAUUCAGGCUCUGUUGAACUUGAGAGUUCAACUUUCUUAGUACUUGGAUAUAUUUGCAAUAGUUAUUAAAAAAUAACUUUCUUAAUUCAACCUUAUAAAUCUUAAUUUCCUUAUCCAUAAUGGAUGGAUGUGGGAUGUCGAACAAAACUCAACUUAUAAAUCUUAAUAGUAAAUUUCCAACAAAAACAAUACACAAUACUAAAACUAGAAACUUUGUCAUAAUUAACUGCACAUUCCCUCUCAAAUAAACAUAAGAGAAAAAGCUAAAUUAGGCCAACUUCUUUAGCCAUCAUUUGGUUAGCCAUUAAAACAUAUUUUAGCUUAUUUAAUUUAUGAGAUAACCAAGAGAUCUGGUACUGAAUAUUUUAUUUCCUUUUCUAAGCACAGGAAUCUGGCACUAUGAAUACUUUAAUUAUAAAAAUAAUAUCUGACAUUUAAUUUUAUCACAACUAGCAGCAUCCUCAUACAGAUAUUAUAUGUAUACAUAUCACACGAGGAUCAUAGGCGUAAGAAAAGUCUAAUCAGUAGAAUUAGUUAUAAAUUAAUCAUAUCAAAAGCAGUGUUUGUGAGCUUGAGAUAAAAAUUAAUUUAAUGUAUCAAGCAUUCAAAAUUAAUAUGAAUGUGCUCUAAAAAACAGUACGAACAUAUUGGAUUAACAUUCAUUUAUGAUUAUCAUUCAAACAAACACAAACUGUAGCAUAAAAAAAAACCCCACACAAGCUGUCCUUUCAAUCCAAUUUCUUCUUUGAUUUCAAACUACAUAGCUUUUUUGCUGUUUUUCUUUAUGACAGCUAACUCGAUCAUCUUCUCUCAAGUUUACUAAAUUAAUAAUAUGCUAACUCCAUUUUUUUAGCCGUAGAUAUAUAACGCCCUCUAGGGGCUUCAGGACACAAUAAAUUUGCUUAAUUAUAUUUUCACUAUCCAACAUUUGAAAAAUUGGUUAUUACAUUGAAAGUGUUAAUAUAAUUAAGUUUUAAAUUCAUUGUAAAUUUAGAUAUUUUUAAUUAAGUUAUAUUAGCCCCUUAUUGUGUAUUUAUCUUUGUGUUAAAAUAUUGUAAAGUUGUGUAAUUAAUAUAAGAUAAUAUCCCCUUCAUUUUAAGACUACAAGUGGUUUUUAUGGAUUUUAUAAUAAUCUCUUGUUAUCCACCAUGUUUGUUUUCAAAACAAUAAAAAAAUAUCCAUAUUUUUAUAGUAAGUGUACUAUCUUUCUAUAUUGAUCAUAAGACUUUACAUUUAUCAGUACAUACUCACAAGUAAAUAAAAUGACAGUGAAAAAUUAAAUAACAGAAACUUAAUUAAAUAACAGUGAAAAAUUAAAUAACAGAAACUAAAUUUAAAAAUAUAAUUUAACUACUAAUCAAAUAAAAAAAUAAAAACUCAACUGAAAAUAGUAAUAAUAAUGGGACAAUGGAUGAUUCUUCUCUGAAAACUGCUAGUAAUCUCUUAAAGGAAAACAGUGAAAUAAGUGUGGGUACAUUCAUGUCAAAUAAUUCUGGUUUUAAGCCCCCCUCUUAGUGCCAAAGUUUUACUUUGAAAUUUGAGAAAGUAUUUAUUGUUUAAUUAAGAAGAUGGAAACAUAUUUAUCUAAAUUAAGAACACAAAACAGAUAAGCUUUAAAAGGAUAGAAAUGAUUAUCCUUUGAAAAGGAAUGAAAGACCUAAAAAUGGAGAAAGAGAGGGUAGAAGCAUACAUUGAAGAUGAGUUGCUUGUUGUCUGCAUCCCAAGCCAAGCCUCCCCUGAAAUUGACGACCCAAACCAGUACGAGGAUGGUGGCAACAACACCCAAAACGUGACUCACGAUUGUCAAGGGAAAAGCUGGUACACCUAAUCCCAUCUUCUCUUCUCUUCUCUUUUCUCUGCUUUCUCUUCAAUGGAAGUUC
rnacentral:lncRNA from 1 species